CAAUAGCGUAUAUUAAAGUUGUUGCGGUUAAAAAGCUCGUAGUUGGAUUUCUGCUGAGGACGAUCGGUCCGCCCUCUGGGUGAGCAUUGACUCGGCCUUGGCAUCUUCUUGGAGAACGCUACUGCACUUGACUGUGUGGUGCGGUAUCCAGGACUUUUACUUUGAGGAAAUUAGAGUGUUCAAGGCAGGCCUUUGUCUGAAUACAUUAGCAUGGAAUAAUAAGAUAGGACUUUGGCUCUAUUUUGUUGGUUUUGAGAUCCGAAGUAAUGAUUAAUAGGGAUGGCCGGGGGCAUUCGUAUUCGGUUGUCAGAGGUGAAAUUCUUGGAUUUACCGAAGACGGACUACUGCGAAAGCAUUUGCCAAGGAUGUUUUCAUUGAUCAAGAACGAAAGUUAGGGGUUCGAAGACGAUCAGAUACCGU
rnacentral:rRNA from 1 species